rnacentral:rRNA from 1 species
UACGUAGGGGGCUAGCGUUGUCCGGAAUCAUUGGGCGUAAAGCGCGUGUAGGCGGCCCGAUAAGUCCGCUGUGAAAGUCCAGGGCUCAACCCUGGGAUGCCGGUGGAUACUGUCGGGCUCGAGUCCGGAAGAGGCGAGUGGAAUUCCUGGUGUAGCGGUGAAAUGCGUAGAUAUCAGGAGGAACACCUGCGGUGUAGACGGCUUACUGGACGGUAACUGACGCUGAGGCACGAAAGCGUGGGUAGCAAACAGG